rnacentral:misc_RNA from 1 species
UACAGAGGGUGCAAGCGUUAAUCGGAUUUACUGGGCGUAAAGCGUACGCAGACGGCCACGCAGGUCGGGUGUGAAAGCCCCGGGCUCAACCCGGGAAUUGCAUUCGAAACCAUGUGGCUCGAGUGUGGGAGAGGGUAGUGGAAUUCCUGGUGUAGAGGUGAAAUUCGUAGAAAUCAGGAGGAACACCGGCGGCGAAGGCGGCUACCUGGUCCACAACUGACGUUCAGGUACGAAAGCGUGGGGAGCAAACAGG